rnacentral:rRNA from 1 species
UUGAACGCUGGCGGCAGGCCUAACACAUGCAAGUCGAACGGUAACAGGAAGAAGCUUGCUUCUUUGCUGACGAGUGGCGGACGGGUGAGUAAUGUCUGGGAAACUGCCUGAUGGAGGGGGAUAACUACUGGAAACGGUAGCUAAUACCGCAUAACGUCGCAAGACCAAAGAGGGGGACCUUCGGGCCUCUUGCCAUCGGAUGUGCCCAGAUGGGAUUAGCUAGUAGGUGGGGUAACGGCUCACCUAGGCGACGAUCCCUAGCUGGUCUGAGAGGAUGACCAGCCACACGGGAACUGAGACACGGUCCAGACUCCUACGGGAGGCAGCAGUGGGGAAUAUUGCACAAUGGGCGCAAGCCUGAUGCAGCCAUGCCGCGUGUAUGAAGAAGGCCUUCGGGUUGUAAAGUACUUUCAGCGGGGAGGAAGGGAGUAAAGUUAAUACCUUUGCUCAUUGACGUUACCCGCAGAAGAAGCACCGGCUAACUCCGUG